GGAUGAUAAUCAAAUCUCUACCCAAGGGGACUAAGGAGAGGUGUUUGAAGCCAGGGGAAUCAAAUCUUUUAUACUAAAUUGGGACAUGGUGCUAACGACCAAGCUGCUCCAACUACAAUAUAUUAUCUCACCGGUGUUGUCGCCAUUGUAGUUAUUUUUUCAAGGAGCCUAAAAUUAGUGUGAAGCAGACAAGAUCCAGCGUAAUUGGUGUACGAGUAGUUCAAGGAGCCUAAAAUUAGUGUGAAGCAGACAAGAUCCAGCGUAAUUGGUGUACGAGUAGUUCACAUGCGCUCUGACUGCUUGCGGAAUGAUGGAAUUUCAUGAAAAUUUACUGCAUACAUAUCAUUUUCAGAA